rnacentral:rRNA from 1 species
UACGGAGGGUGCAAGCGUUGUCCGGAUUUAUUGGGUUUAAAGGGUGCGUAGGCGGCCUUGUAAGUCAGUGGUGAAAGCCUCCAGCUCAACGUGGAGAACUGCCAUUGAUACUGCAAGGCUUGAGUACAGACGAGGUUGGCGGAAUUGAUUGUGUAGACGGUGAAAUGCAUAGAUACAAUCAAGAACUCCGAUUGCGAUAGGCAGCUAACUAGGCUGUAACUGACGCUGAGGCACGAAAGCGUGGGGAGCGAACAGG